rnacentral:rRNA from 1 species
GACAGAGGGUGCAAACGUUGUUCGGAAUUACUGGGCGUAAAGCGAGUGUAGGCGGAUAUUUAAGUCAGGGGUGAAAUCCCAGAGCUCAACUCUGGAACUGCCUUUGAUACUGGGUAUCUUGAGUAUGGAAGAGGUGAGUGGAAUUCCGAGUGUAGAGGUGAAAUUCGUAGAUAUUCGGAGGAACACCAGUGGCGAAGGCGGCUCACUGGUCCAUUACUGACGCUGAGGUGCGAAAGCGUGGGGAGCAAACAGG